rnacentral:rRNA from 1 species
GAUUGAACGCUGGCGGUAUGCUUAACACAUGCAAGUCGAACGGAAACGAUACUAGCUUGCUAGUAGGCGUCGAGUGGCGGACGGGUGAGUAACGCGUAGGAAUCUGCCUGAUAGUGGGGGAUAGCCCGAAGAAAUUCGGAUUAAUACCGCAUAAUCUAUUCGUAGUAAAGUGGGGGACUUUCGAGCCUCACGCUAUCAGAUGAGCCUGCGUAAGAUUAGCUUGUUGGUAGGGUAAAAGCCUACCAAGGCGACGAUCUUUAGCUGGUCUGAGAGGAUGAUCAGCCACAUCGGGACUGAGACACGGCCCGAACUCCUACGGGAGGCAGCAGUGGGGAAUAUUGGACAAUGGGGGCAACCCUGAUCCAGCAAUACCGCGUGUGUGAAGAAGGCCUGAGGGUUGUAAAGCACUUUCAAUUGUGAAGAAAAGUUAGCGGUUAAUAACCGUUAGCCUUGACGUUAACUUUAGAAGAAGCACCGGCUAACUCCGUGCCAGCAGCCGCGGUAAUACGGAGGGUGCAAGCGUUAAUCGGAAUUACUGGGCGUAAAGCGUGCGUAGGCGGUUUAUUAAGUCAGAUGUGAAAGCCCCGGGCUUAACCUGGGAACUGCAUUUGAAACUGGUCAACUAGAGUAUGGUAGAGGAAAGUGGAAUUUCUGGUGUAGCGGUGAAAUGCGUAGAUAUCAGAAGGAACAUCAAUGGCGAAGGCAGCUUUCUGGACCAAUACUGACGCUGAGGUACGAAAGCGUGGGUAGCAAACAGGAUUAGAUACCCUGGUAGUCCACGCCGUAAACGAUGAUAACUAGCCGUUGGGGGGAUUUACCCUUUAGUGGCGAAGCUAACGCGUUAAGUUAUCCGCCUGGGGAGUACGGCCGCAAGGUUAAAACUCAAAGGAAUUGACGGGGACCCGCACAAGCGGUGGAGCAUGUGGUUUAAUUCGAUGCAACGCGAAGAACCUUACCUGGUCUUGACAUCCUGCGAACUUUCUAGAAAUAGAUUGGUGCCUUCGGGAACGCAGUGACAGGUGCUGCAUGGCUGUCGUCAGCUCGUGUCGUGAGAUGUUGGGUUAAGUCCCGUAACGAGCGCAACCCCUAUCCUUAUUUGCCAGCACAUCAUGGUGGGAACUAUAAGGAGACUGCCGGUGAUAAACCGGAGGAAGGCGGGGACGACGUCAAGUCAUCAUGGCCCUUACGACCAGGGCUACACACGUGCUACAAUGGGAAGGACAAAGAGCCGCGAAGCCGCGAGGUGUAGCUAAUCUCAUAAACCUUUUCGUAGUCCGGAUUGGAGUCUGCAACUCGACUCCAUGAAGUCGGAAUCGCUAGUAAUCGUAGAUCAGAAUGCUACGGUGAAUACGUUCCCGGGUCUUGUACUCACCGCCC